UGUUAUUUUCUCUGCAACAACUUAAUACAGUUUUAGUUUUAACUUACUUAGGGACUCCAGCAUGUCUAGUACAAUAAGCACAGCACAACAGCAGAAGCACAAAACACUGCUACACUUGAGAACUCUUAUCAUUUGCUAAUGUGGAAGUGUGAUAUUUUUUCUUUAUUAAGUAAAUGUGUUAUAAGUGUAAAAUCAUUGGUGGACAGUGCAAAAGCAAAGAAAUAAACAAGUGCAACUUAACUAGACGUUUCCCAGAAAGCUUGAAUUCAUGCAUUUCCCAGAAAGCUUGGAUUCGUUAAACAUCAUUUUACUCAUUGAUAGAGUUGGGCUCUUUAUCAAGCUGAUUAUAUCAAUUAGGUUUGAUCUCUUCUCUGUCUUCC
rnacentral:lncRNA from 1 species